rnacentral:rRNA from 1 species
GACAGAGGAUGCAAGCGUUAUCCGGAAUGAUUGGGCGUAAAGCGUCUGUAGGUGGCUUUUAAGUCUGCCGUCAAAUCCCAGGGCUUAACCCUGGACAGGCGGUGGAAACUACCAAGCUGGAGUACGGUAGGGGCAGGGGAAUUUCCGGUGGAGCGGUGAAAUGCGUAGAGAUCGGAAAGAACACCAACGGCGAAAGCACUCUGCUGGGCCGACACUGACACUGAGAGACGAAAGCUAGGGGAGCGAAUGGG